ACAAAAGAAAAAGUAAUGUAACAGUUUAUGUAAGUACCUAACAUACCAGCAUGCUUACAGCUAAAACAAGACAUAAAAAGGUAAUACGGGUACUGUGUAUAUAGUUCUGACAAAUGUGCAUUAAAGAGUUCUCUAAUAUAAAAACAUUUAAAUUGUGGAGAAUACUUUUCAUGAUACAGAAAACAACUGUUAAAAUAGGCACACCCACAAUCCUUAUAAAAAUAUGCUUGCCAAAGAUAAAGCUCAUCCAAGCCCCAGUUCUCAGAUGUGCAAAAGCCACGAAGCUGUUAACCCUGGGUACUGUCUCCCCCUCUGUGUCAUGAGUUUCAACACUGACUGGUAUGAAUUAUGAAUUACAGUUAAUUUUAGUUAUUCUUCAGUGUUUCUGCCAAGCUCCCUAUAGGAUGCAUCUACUUAAUAUGAAUACUUAAAACAACAUUACUUGUAUAUAAAAGUCACUUCCUUAAUGUCCUUUUUUCCUUUCCUAGAAAAGGCACUAUAUUUAGAAAAUACUUAUUACCACAAGUAGUGCUGUGGAAAAACUGAAACUCCAAAUCAGCGUGCUCUAUCAAUAAGUACAUCUAAGAAGCCCUAACUAAGAGAACACAAAAUGUAAAAAGCUGAUAAAUUUAAAGAUUAUAAAAUUGGUUUAUUGUAAAAGCAAUUCAAGAAUACCCAGUUAAAAUCUUAUCCCAACACUACCCAGUACAACCCAGAAGGCAUUAAACACUUUGACAUCAGAACAAGGACACAGAACAAGAGAGACCAAAUCAAGGCUGUGAUUCAGAUUCAGAAAGAGGAAGGACUUUCAGGCGCCCUUCAGUCAGCGCCAGGGGCCACAGCGGACGCAGGUGUAACUCAAGUGACUGAACUUUUAGGAACAACUGCCUUUUGUGACAACAGAAGAAAAAGACACGUAUCAGGUUCUCUAUCAAGGUCCCCCUAGUCUCUCGCGAUCCCUCCCACGUCCCCACCCUUGCCCUGAUCUAAAGCUACUGCUGACGUGUAAGAUGUGAUCUUAUUUGUGGCUUAUUGGCACACGUAAGCACUCCUUCCAAGUAGCUUUGACUUUCAGCAUGUGAGAAAAGAACAACAUGCUGUCUCAUUCAUACCCUCACUUAUGCAUUCUAGGUAGAAUUUCAUUAUUGCUUAUAAAAAAAAAAUCUGCACAGUGGCCAUUUCCCCUCAGACUUAAUUUCAAGAUAAUCUUUCUGCUGUUUUCUUAAUAAAAAGCUUUAGUCAAUGAUUACGAAUGAUUGACCUAUGAAUUCAUUAUAUAGAACAGUGAUUGCAUUUUUUGAGCACUCAAAGUACUUAAUAUAAAACUUCUCACUCCCAACUUUCACACUCCUCUAACUGAAGGGUCAAAAUACUUAGAUUUAAUCUAUCUUCCGAAGCAAGAUGAGACUUUCCAUAGCAGUGUUAGCUAGGAAAAAUGAUUCUUCGGUUAUAAACCCUUGAAAAUAAGGACUUAUUCUAGAAUAUUGAAAGACCCUUAAUCACAGAGGUGCUAGCUGGUGCCACUAUAAUUCACAACCAACUAUUACCGUCAUAGCUUAUACUGAAGAGUUGAUUCAUGCUCAUUUUGUUCCUUUAAAAAAUACUCUUUGGAAACCAUUAUUAUUACUCCUGUAGACACAUACUCUAGUUAUAUCUCUUCCUGUAAAAAUAAAAGUAUAAUCAUGAUUAUCUCUAUUUCUUUGCUAAACUCAACUACUGAUAUACAUUAAUUAAUCUGAUCACUUUACCAGCUAACUUACACCCUCGGCAGUAUUCUAUAUAUACUUCCAGGGUCAAUUCUCGGCAUACAGAAGUAGGAGCAAGUCUCCAUGUAUGUUAUGAACCUACUUAGUGAUUUCCCAACAAGGUUCAAAAUUAGUCCAUGGGAGUGUCAAGGGAAAAUAAAGCUGUAUCUUGUUUGCUUCUUUCAAAUUCAUCAGACAAUAUUGUGUGCCCAGAGUGCAUAUAGUACUCCUCCAGACACUAUGCUUUCUAGAAUAACUACCUCUAAUGUCUGCAGACUGUCUCAAUCAGAUUUACACUACCGUGAGAUAUAAACUACUAGUCACAUAUUCUAAAUACAUACAUUCAAAACUACCAUUUUAAAAUAAAUUGGAAAGUAUGGAAACCUUAAAAAAAGAUACAUUCUGCUAUCACACUAUUAUAAACCUUAUAAGUGUGUGUGUGGGUAUAUAUAUAGAGAGAGCAGAUAAUCAAGAUUUAAAUAAGAUGGUAAAAAAUUAGGAAAUGUAGAUUUUACCAAAGGAACUACAAUAACUGCACCAAGCAACAACUAUAAACAGAUUGGCUACUAUGGUAAUUUGUCUCGGUUCUGGGGGAAAAACAAAAACAAAAAAAAGCACAACCCAACCAAUCAAAACAAAAUAAAACGAACAAAAAAAACCAAACCCACA
rnacentral:lncRNA from 1 species